AGACUUGCAGGAAUCAUAACAACAGAGCUGGUAACUUGCUGAAGUCUUAGGAGGAACGUGGUCAUAGCUGACACUGAACCAGAGAGAACAAAUGUGUGGGCCUUUCUGCCACAGGG
rfam:Vicugna pacos cont1.224948, whole genome shotgun sequence.